rnacentral:rRNA from 1 species
GCAAUGGACGAAAGUCUGACCGAGCGACGCCGCGUGAGGGAAGAAGGUUUUUGGAUUGUAAACCUCUGUCCUUGGUAAAGAAGCAAGACGGUAGCCAAGGAGGAAGCCACGGCUAACUACGUGCCAGCAGCCGCGGUAAUACGUAGGGGGCUAGCGUUAUCCGGAAUUACUGGGCGUAAAGGGUGCGUAGGUGGUUUCUUAAGUCAGAGGUGAAAGGCUACGGCUCAACCGGGGAGGGUCAUUGGAAACUGGGAGACUUGAGUGCAGAAGAGGAGAGUGGAAUUCCAUGUGUAGCGGUGAAAUGCGUAGAUAUAUGGAAGAACACCAGUGGCGAAAGCGGCUCUCUGGUCUGUAACUGACGCUGAGGUUCGAAAGCGUGGGUAGCA